rnacentral:lncRNA from 1 species
UCGCUAAAUUAGCUGUGUUGUCGUGUGGGAUCUUAGGAAAUGUGGUUUUCUUCUCCUUGAAUACAGAAAUAUUAAAUGACAUGAUGUUCUUGUUACACAAGGUGGAGGCAGGAAUGGAGGUGGAGCAGAGCAGCACUCUGAGAAGGAGUAAGGAGCUGUGGCCAAAGCCUUGAGGAAAGUCAAGAGCUGCCCCAGCAGAAACUACUAGUAAAGUUAAAGGUCUUCAAUGCAGCAAGUUCCCUUUUCCUCCUGUUGUUCCAAUGGUGUCCUGCUGUCCUGGCUGUGUGAGGUUCCCAGAGUUAUUCUGGACCCUGAUAAAUCAGACCUUCAAUAUGGAGAAAUGACCUGCACCUGGAUCCACGCAGGAUGUUCUUGUGGCUUAAAGGAGAACCUCUGAGGAGGCAGAAAGCUGGUUCUUUCUGGAGGGAGAAGGCAUGAGAGACAGACUGGAUUGAAAAGAGAAAGAGGACCCUCAACUCUCCCUAAUUUUCAAGAAUGUUGCCAGUCAAAGAGAGUUCCCCUGGUGGAAUCAAUCUCUUGCUGCCCUGGUGGGUAGGAGCUGCUUUGAGUAGCUUUGGCUUUGUGGUGCUUUCUUGGAGUUUUGGCAAUGAGGGCAACAUCCAGACCCAUGAGAUGUCCCUGCAGCAUGGAGACACCCUCCCUCACUGCAGCUGCUGCCAGCCAGCUUCUUUAUCUGGGAAAUCCUGA